AACCAGGUCCUGUGCAACAGAGACAGUGUGAACUCCGUCAGGUCCGGAAGGAAGCAGCGGUAGCAUUGCUCGCUGUGUGCCGCAGGGUAGCCUGGUUAUC
rnacentral:SRP_RNA from 1 species